rnacentral:rRNA from 1 species
CUACAGGCGGCUGCAGUUAGGAAUAAUCUACAAUGCGCGAAAGCGUGAUAGUUUGAGCCAGAGUGUUUUUCAAUUGAAAGACUUUUGUGAAAUGUAAAAAGUUUCACGAAUAAGGACUGGGUAAGACUAGUGCCAGCCGCCGCGGUAAUACUAGCGGUCCAAGUCGCAACCAUUUUUAUUGGGUCUAAAACAUCCGUAGCUUGCUUGACAAGUCUUCUGUGAAAUUUUACGUCUAAAACGUAGAGCGCGCAGAAGGUACUAUCAAGCUAGAGACCGGAAGACGUAAGAAGUACAUUCAGAGUAGCGGUUAAAUGUGUUAAUCCUGGAUGGACUAACAAGAGCGAAGGCAUCUUACGAGGACGGUUCUGACAGUAAGGGAUGAAAGCUAGGGGCGCAAAUGGGAUUAGAUACCCCCGUAGUC